rnacentral:rRNA from 1 species
GACGAAGGGGGCUAGCGUUGUUCGGAAUUACUGGGCGUAAAGGGCGCGUAGGCGGCGUGUCAAGUCAGGCGUGAAAGCCCCGGGCUCAACCUGGGAACCGCGCUUGAGACUGGCAUGCUCGAGUUCGGGAGAGGAUGGUGGAAUUCCCAGUGUAGAGGUGAAAUUCGUAGAUAUUGGGAAGAACACCGAUGGCGAAGGCAGCCAUCUGGACCGACACUGACGCUGAGGCGCGAAAGCGUGGGGAGCAAACAGG